GUGGGGUUGGCAUUGCAGGCGAGAUGAAGGAUUAGUGACAGCAUGUACCACUCGCUCAUCUACGCUACCAUUGUGGAAAUGCAAGCCAUGAUGACAUUUGAGCAUGAUGACAUCAUUAACGCAGGCAGCACCAUGAAGGGGGCCCAGGCGGUGUGUCAGAGGUUUCGGAAGAAGUUGACGGUGGUUGGCAAGAUGUCCAAACCCACUGGAGAGGGUUUCACAGAAGUUUCUUAAAAGUGAAAUAAAAAAGGUUAUCAGCACCACUCUAUAAAAGAUGACCAGAAUAAAAUCUUUCAGGAGAUGCUGUGGUUCAUAAAUACACAGUAGAAGCUGUCAUAUCUGAUCCUGUAAGAUACCAUGGCCUGUAUUACACAUCCUGUAUCAUUCACACAUGCAGCUACCUACUGAACCAUACUGAUGGAAACUGAUCAAUGCAUAUUUUAUUAUGGGUCUGAAAUACGAACAGAGCUCCAGACUCAGGUGAGACUGCCUUAUGCUGCAAUGAAAUCAGUUCACAUUUACCAGGGGUCUGAUUGUUCAGACUCCUAGCUCCCAGUCUUUUCAAUAAUAUAUCUGAACAAGGGCAGUUCUGAAAUCCAGCAAAUUCAAGUGUGAUUAUUGGAGAUAGUGUGGGUUGCUUGUAGUUACCAUGGUGUGUGUGCGUGUGUGUGUGUUUAAAUGCAAAGUUAUAAUAUUGGACACAUUUCAUAGCAUUCAAAGUUUGAAGACUUUUUUAUUUAUUUUUUAAUAGAUUUCAAACUUCCAUAUGCAUAUCGGUAGUAAAGAAGCAUUUCCAAUACCUUAUUGCUAGUUACUGAUUUUGACUUUGGUUCAAAAGUAUAAAGCAUAGCAAUGGUAAAAAAGAAUGUACAUUUCCCAGAAUGUUCAACAUUGUAUUUAUUUGUACUUGGCUACAAAGUUCCAUAUGCAUAUCAACUGUAAAGUGAAUGACAUGAACAUGUCAAUGCUAGAUAUGAUGUUUUUUUUUGUCUUCUAAUCUUCUGAUUUUCUCAACUUGGUCCAAUGUACUCCAAUCGUAAAGCAUUAGAUCUGUUCAUAAAAGGCGAUGUACAUGUCCUUUGCAUUUCUUGGCCACGGUUUGAAUUCAAUAAGUGUGUCAUUUGCAUGCACUCACUUUGUAGUGCCAGGCACUGAGAGGACACACAAGUAAUGUCCUGAAGCGACAUCUCCUCCUUUUGUGUAUAAUUUGUAAUUGCAGUUGUCCACAUUAAUUUUACUCUUGUGCACACCAGUAAACAUCACAUCUUGUCGCUUUGUAAUAUUCCCAUUUGGUUCGGUUUGCCAAAGCAUAAGCUGGACUGCAAGCAUUCUUUCUGCUGACUGAAGGACUUUGCAUUUUAUUAGUGUGAAUUGUUGGCAGUGGUCACACCUGCCACCAUCAAUGGGUGCCCACUUGUGCUCCAUAUUAAUUAGUUGUUCCAAACACAUGGAAUGUGUACCAUCAAGUACAUGCAACGAGUAAACAUGCCCCACCUCUUGAUUUGAUAUGCGGUACUCACAUUGUGUACAUAGUAUGUCUUGCCGUAUGGUUACUGAAAGCCCAUCAGAUAUUUGUGGGCAAGUUUGACACAAUUUGGUGAGAAACUCAACAACAUCUUGCUGCUGAACUCUAUUGAAGGGUUCUAAGAAUUGACAAAUGUCCACAGUACUGAGAGAUGUAGUGGAUGGCAAGUGAUCAUAGUUGGUAACAAAAGUCCUGAGGGCUUGUUGUUCACUCUGCUUUAAUGAC